rnacentral:tRNA from 1 species
GCCCGUGUGGUCUAACGGAUAGGAUAUAACCCUGCGGAGGUUGCGGCCCGAGUUCAAUUCUCGGCACGGGCG